rnacentral:rRNA from 1 species
GAGUUUGAUCCUGGCUCAGGAUGAACGCUGGCGGCGUGCCUAAUACAUGCAAGUCGAGCGAAUCAAGAGGUGCUUGCACCUCCUGGUUAGCGGCGGACGGGUGAGUAACACGUGGGCAACCUGCCUGUAAGACUGGGAUAACACCGGGAAACCGGUGCUAAUACCGGAUAAUCCUUUUCCUCUCAUGAGGAAAAGCUGAAAGUCGGUUUCGGCUGACACUUACAGAUGGGCCCGCGGCGCAUUAGCUAGUUGGUGAGGUAACGGCUCACCAAGGCGACGAUGCGUAGCCGACCUGAGAGGGUGAUCGGCCACACUGGGACUGAGACACGGCCCAGACUCCUACGGGAGGCAGCAGUAGGGAAUCUUCCGCAAUGGACGAAAGUCUGACGGAGCAACGCCGCGUGAGCGAUGAAGGCCUU